GUGCCGCUGAGUUAACACCUCCCCAUGGCGAUUGGGGUCUGCCCCUUUCUUCCCCACGUACGCGACCUGCUCUCUCUAUGGUUCCCUCUCCCACACGCCUCCUCAAGCGACCCCACCUCACGCUCCCGAUGCUGCGCCGACACCUCCUCCCCUUCUCUCACGGCCUCUACGAGCAUCCGCAAAUCCUCCCUCUUCCCUAAUCUCCUUCCUUUUGCCUCUCAAUCACGAAUCAGGAUCCAUGGAGGUGUCCGACAAGUGCUACUCGAUCUGCUAUACGGCAGCGGCGGGGAACACCGGCCGUCGGUCUGCCUCUCGAUGCUCAUCCUCCGGGAGGCUGCGCGCGGAGCCUGCCGCUGAACUUCGCCUCCACAUCGCCAUGAAGGUGGUUCUUCUUCUUCGCUGACCUGUUCAUCCAUCGCUCGUCUUGUUCGUCUCUCUGUUGUCCGGUCCUCGUCGUCGUCAAGAAUCCCAGAACCCACAUACAUCAGCUGAAGUAAGAUCUUAACAGUUUUGACAGUGUUGACGCCCAGGAUAAUCGAGCAUCUGACUUGACUUGUUGGUCAGUGACAGGGUUUGGUGACCAUGCACUGAGAUUCUCAACCACAUUGCUAAGUUUGGUCGGUUCUUGUUUUGCUUCUUUGAGCUUUUAAUUUGUGCCUCUGUCAGUUCGUUCAGGCUCAUUAGGUGUUUGUUCCUGCUUCAAUUUUCUUUUCUUUUUCCUCUUGUAUGAUUUUUGGAGCAAGGUUGGUCGGUCGGUUUUUCUUUUGCUUCUUUCAGAUCUUGUAGAAAUAAUGAUGCCAGUUUUACAUGUGCUGCAACAGAUAAUGAGGUAGAUAGAUGACAUGGCUGAAGCCAAAGUUCUGUGUGGGUAUGACAUAACAGAAAAUGAUAGAAAUCAUUGUAGGUAUAACAGGGCACUUUUUUUAAAACUAUAACUGAAUGAACAGAUCGACCAAACAAUUAGGAACUGGAUUCACGCAGUAGAAGGAAGUAAACAGAAGGUAUAGUUAAACUAAAAAUAAAGGAUUUCUACCAAAAUUAUGAGCAGCACUAACAGUACUAUGAACUGAAUCAAAAGAAGAGAAACAAAUGUUCAGAAAAUUCAAACAGAGCAGCAGAGGUUAAUUCAGUUUUGAGUAAUCAGAGUAGCAUAGAAGAGUAAAAACUCAUUGUUGCUGAAUAUAGAGUGUGCUUAUCAUGAUUUACUUCCUCACAGAACUAAGCAGUGUGGUUGACUUACAUUAUGGUAUGCUUCCUCAGGGAUUGGCAUCAUCGGUUCAUAAUCAAGUUUGACUCGUUAUCUAAUCUGCUGGGCAUAUCGACUCUGCGGCUAAGGUGCGCUUCCCACUCUUUUUAACUUGUUUCGGUUGCUUGUGCUUGGAUUGCGUCUGCUUAUUCGCAGUUAUUUUCGUUGUGCUAUUUGUGAUAUUUGUGAGAUGCCACAUCUUUGAUAUGAUCUCUUAUAGCUAAGAAAAGGUAAAAAAACAUCCUUUUGUCUUCCAACUCAACAAUUAUUUGACAUUGCUAAAAUAGAACCAUUUUAUUUUCCCUAACUAUAUCUUGACUAUAUAGGUCAAGACUGACUUGUUUUCGGCACACAUGGUUCCCAUUGCCUUGUUAUGAAACAAGGCAUAAGCAGAUACCAAAAUUUAGGGUCGAUCGAUGGGUACGAAACACAUAUGUCAGUGAAGUAACUUUGGGGAAGCAUGAACUCAAAAAUUUAGGAGCACUUGACAGCGAGACGGAGUUAACUGAAAGUAAUCUACAAACUUUGAGAUUUCGAUUUCUGCCUCUGUUACUUUGUUGAUGCUCAUGAAGCGUUUCUUGUUAUGUCUGCUUCAAUUUUCUUUUCUUUUUUCUGUUGUGUGAUUUUCCAAGCAAGGUUGUUUGGUCGAUUCUUGUUUUGCUUCUUUGAGCUUUUGGUUUCUGCCUCUGUGAAUACGCUCAUCAGGUGUUUCUUCUUAUGUGUGCCAAGCCUGCUGUGCUAGAUAGAUGACAUGCCUGCAGCACAAGUUAUGUUGAAACCAAGUCUGCUGUGAAUGAUAAGCAAGGUUGUUUGGUCGGUUCUUGUUUUGCUUCUUUCAGAUUUCGAUUUGUGCCUCAUGCUAUCAUUAUCCCAUCAGAGUAGGUACAAAUCAGAGGAGGUUCAAUCAUGUUAUCAUUAUGGUUUCUAUAAUUUUAUUAUAGACGGAUGCUUCUUUUCCCUUGUUUGUUCUAUACAACAAAGUGCACUUUCGAUUGAUAUUAUUACAUGUUAUUAAAAGUGCAGAUUGUAGUUUUGGUCACUCAAGUAAAAUUGAGGGAGUCAUUAACAGUAGGUGCUAAUUGAGGUUGUACAAGGAUAUCUUCAGUUCUUGAUAAAGCAUAGUGCCAUCUGUCUUCCCCCCCUUUUGUUCUGCCAGAUCUGGUUCUUUUUAGUUUCUGUACUUGUUCUUGCUGUGGGGUUCUUGAUGAGUCUCAUACAGAUUGAUAUGGUGUACAUUUUUGCAAGUGUGUGUACAGUCUGAACAAGUGAUUAGUAUAUGGCUGAGGCUGUAAAUUCUCUUGGUUUUUACUUCUGGAGUUCAGCUAGAUUCAGUUUUGCGGCGUUUAGUACACUGCUAUUUGAGCAGGCCAGCAAAGAAUUGCUUUACUGAUUGUUGAGCUGUGCUGCACUUUUUCUUCACACGAAAUGGCCUCUUUGUUGAUCUUUUUUCCCCGUUUUCUUGGAGAGUGCUGCCUUUGCAAUGGUUUGGCCAUAAAUUUGUUGUCUUGCGAUAGCCAAAUACUGAACUUCAGAGGGAGACAUUCGCUGUUUUUCAGAAUUUAUGGAACUACAAAAAAUAACUGGCUCAGCUUAAUAAUUCUGCUUACACCCCUGUUUGUAAAGACUUCUGUUUAGUACACGCUUGAUACCUAGCAGCAGUACCCCUGUUUUGUUAUUACUACCCCCGUUCCUAAAUAUAAGAUGUUUUAGUAGUUCAAUUUUAACUGCCAAAACAUCUUGUUUCUAGAAACAGAGGGUGUAUUUGACUGCAAGAUUUGAUAGCAAAGCAUAGCAGUAAGUGGUCCAAAGAAAGGACACCGCUUCUCUCAAACGAUUUAAAUGUCUACCUAACUUGCUUCUAUGAAUUUCCUGCUCUAUUCUUGGUAUGUCCGAUGGUUAUAUUAGCCCUGUAAUCUACCGACGCAUCGAAAAUAAUAGUUACUACAAGAUCUUAUCCCUGCUUACACAUUUCUCAAAGAGAUGAUAUAGGUGACACGAUUAUCUUGACAACAUAGAGCAUGUAUGUUUGUUGUCGUUGUGCUUCUGUUCUGUCAACUGAGCGUGAUAAAUUCUCUCUGUUUGCAGCUUUCUCUCUUUUUUUCAAUCUUUGCUCAUAUGGACACAUCCUCUGCUAGCUCUUUAAUUCCAUUUAACUUAGAGCCUGUUCGGCAACACUCCACUCCUCUAAUUUCUCAACUCCACUCCUUACUUCUCAACUCCCAACUCUACUUGCAUAUUUUAGAAUUUUGCAAAACGUUCGGCACCCAACUCCAGCUCUUCUACGUGUGCGCAUGGAGAAAAGGAAUCGGGGCAAGCGGGGAGUACGAGAGAUUUGUGGGGUUCUGUUUCCUAUUUUUUUUCUCGAACCGGUAAGUGGCGUGUAAAAAUUUGUACGAGCCAUCGAGACGGAGCGCGCGGAGCGUCACUUUCCCGACUCCAGCGAUUUGUACUACGGGCCGCUCCGCUCCGGAUUAUGAAAUCUACGGAGUUGACUCGUUCGGUGCGGCUCAGCCGGCUCCCGUAGCGGAGUUGAGGAGCGGAGGGCUCCCGAACACCCCCUUAAUCUCUAUCUCCAUUUAACUUGUUGAUAUAGUACCACCUCCAUUACAAACCGUUCUUUUGAUCUGCUGCUCUCCUUUAUUUCUUUCCAUUUUAUCUUACUUCCAAUAAUUAAUUUGAGGUUAAAAUCCUGAAAUUUAGUGAUGUAAUGCACCAAAAUUGGGGUAGUUUUUUUUAUUUAUCACAAGAAAUGAGUGCUACUAUUAUGCGUUUAUUCUUGUUUUGUCAUUAUUCUACGAUGAUCAACCAUGACUGUUCUUUCAAAGUGAGCUUCAUUUCUCUAUAGUCAACUCUUUAAAUGGUAUUCUUUUGAAUAUUUUCAGUGCCAUGUUUACUUAUUUUAUACACUAUACAGUGAUGGUGAAAGACUUGAAGUAGAUCAUGCUAGCAUUUUCCCAAUGUGAUGACUAUGACCAAUAGUUAGCCUGCACAUCUUACUUUCAAUGCCUUCGAUCACACCGUCGCCACCUAAAAGGUAUGCGCCCUUGCCCCCUUUUAUUCUCUUGCCCUUUCCGCCUUGCUGGGAGAAGAUGUAUGUGUGUUCUGUUUUAGACAAUGGUGUUCAUGUAAGCGCGUUCACGCCAUGUUCCCAAGUACUAUGUUCUCUUUUAUUUCUGGAAUCGUGUCUAUUCGCACAAGUACUAUGCACACAGCAACACAUGGUCUAUACUGCUGCAAAUUGUUCUGCGUUAGCUUUGAAUCUGUUAGUGAAGUUGUUAUUGUAUGGUAACGGUGUACUUUUAUGGGCUGAUUAAUAGAAUGGAUCUGUAUGUGCUAUAGAUAGCUAAUCCUUUGCAACAAUUUAAUAAGAUGCUGAAAUCAAAGGCGUGGCCUCUAUUUGAUCAGCACGGUAUGCUAUAAAACCGAGAAGAAGAGAAGGAGGAGUAUGGGUGUGAUUUGCUUCUGUUUUCGUUAUAUAAUUGUAGGCUCUGUUGGUACCAAAUUUUUUUUCUGGUGUAAAUUUUUGCUCUUGCGAUUUGUCUCUUGUAAUUAUCUUGAAUCCUACAGUCAGUUGCAUUUUUGGUACCAUGUGAGAGUUUGGUCCUGCAAUUCGGUUCCUACAGUCAGUUGCAUUUUUCUUGUAUGAAAUUAAAGUGUCGUAGUUUAUCAAUAUCACCCGAAUUGGACCAUCUGACAUUUCAUAAGCUUUAUCAGUACUAUGUUCUCCUUAGCUGUACUGCUGCUCCAACUGAAGGUUUGCUCUCAGUUUCAGAUCUCCCUGAGUUAUUCCAGAAUCUAUUAUGCUCUUUUACAUUGAAUUCCUUGGGUUGAAACUGUGAGCUGUGCCUAUUUUUAAUUCUAAAAUAUAUCUGCUUUGUCUAGAGAAGGUAGAACGACAAGGUUAUUCAGAUGUUUUACAGUAUCUGAUAUGCCCCUUAAUUAGUAAGGUGGGCUCACAAGCUUGGGUCCUGAGCCACAAGAACUCGAGAAAGGCAUCAUACAUUCCUUUUUUUGCAAGGCACUGACAACUUCAGAUACGAUUGCCCAUGGACAUGUCUCAGAAUCCCGCAUGUCAACAACUGGUAGCCAAAGAUCUUCAUGGAACUGAGUGGCAUUUUCGUCACAUUUUUUGUGAUGAUUUUACAAUUUGAGUAUUCAGCUUGAAUACCCUUUAAACUUUCUGUCGUUCUGUUCUUAUUGUUUUCGUAUAGCGGUAGAUGUCACAAUUGAAUGUUGAAUUCUUAUCACUGCAGAAAAUUGCAGCAUAUAGUGAUUCAUUACUUCUUGAGUAUGUUGAACUGUAUCCCUGUCUGGUUCUAUAUCAUGCCUUCCGAUGUUUUGUGUUUCA